GCGAAUGGUGGAUGCCUUGACUGGUAAAGGCGAUGAAGGACGUACUAGACUGCGAUAAGCUACGGGGAGCUGUCAAGAAGCUUUGAUCCGUAGAUUUCCGAAUGGGGCAACCCAAUGUAUAGAGAUAUACAUUACCUAUAUAGGAGCGAACGAGGGGAAUUGAAACAUCUUAGUACUCUCAGGAAAAGAAAUCAAUAGAGAUUGCGUCAGUAGCGGCGAGCGAAAGCGCAAGAGGGCAAACCCAGUGCUUGCACUGGGGGUUGUAGGACUGCAAUGUGCAAGAGGUAAGUUUAGCAGAACAUUCUGGAAAGUAUAACCAUAGAGGGUGAUAGUCCCGUAUGCGAAAAACAAACCUUAGCUAGCAGUAUCCUGAGUAGGGCGGGACACGAGGAAUCCUGUCUGAAUCCGGGUCGACCACGAUCCAACCCUAAAUACUAAUACCAGAUCGAUAGUGCACAAGUACCGUGAGGGAAAGGUGAAAAGAACUGAGGUGAUCAGAGUGAAAUAGAACCUGAAACCAUUUGCUUACAAUCAUUCAGAGCCCUAUGUAGCAAUACAGGGUGAUGGACUGCCUUUUGCAUAAUGAGCCUGCGAGUUGUGGUGUCUGGCAAGGUUAAGCAAACGCGAAGCCGUAGCGAAAGCGAGUCUGAAUAGGGCGCUUAGUCAGAUGCUGCAGACCCGAAACGAAGUGAUCUAUCCAUGAGCAAGUUGAAGCUAGUGUAAGAACUAGUGGAGGACUGAACCCAUAGGCGUUGAAAAGCCCCGGGAUGACUUGUGGAUAGGGGUGAAAGGCCAAUCAAACUUCGUGAUAGCUGGUUCUCUCCGAAAUAUAUUUAGGUAUAGCGUUGUGUCGUAAUAUAAGGGGGUAGAGCACUGAAUGGGCUAGGGCAUACACCAAUGUACCAAACCCUAUCAAACUCCGAAUACCUUAUAUGUAAUCACAGCAGUCAGGCGGCGAGUGAUAAAAUCCGUCGUCAAGAGGGAAACAACCCAGACUACCAGCUAAGGUCCCUAAAUCUUACUUAAGUGGAAAACGAUGUGAAGUUACUUAAACAACCAGGAGGUUGGCUUAGAAGCAGCCAUCCUUUAAAGAAAGCGUAAUAGCUCACUGGUCUAGUGAUUUUGCGCGGAAAAUAUAACGGGGCUAAAGU
rnacentral:rRNA from 1 species